UGAAAGUGGGCAUGAGGGCAGCAGAAGGAGUAAAGCAUGAGGGAGGAGGUCUCCUCUGGCACCUGAGCUGAAGGGCCCUCAGGGCAGCCCCAAGGCCGCAGCCUCCCGGUUGCCCUGCAGCCUGGCUGCUGAGUCCCAGCUGCUUCAGCUGGCUAGAGGUCCUUACUUAGUUGUCUCAAGCACCUGAAGCCUACCUUGCCCACCUGCGAGUCACUCGCCCCACAAGCAGGGCACCCAUCUGAGUCCUGUGCCCAGGGCAAACCCCACAACUGCCUGGUAGUGGAGCCACGACAGGGCAGUCAGUGCUCAGGAGGUGCCACACAGCCCCCAAGCACAGAUGCGGCCACACAAAGCCGCUAUUAUAGUUAACAGGUUGAGCCAGAUUCUCUGUGUGCCACCCACCGCACUGCACAGGGCCUCUAGGACCCCAUCCCUGCCUGGGUUCCUGGGGCCCCUCAGGCCGCCACCCACUCAACCAGAGGGCCAGAUCUGAGGGGCAGGGCUCGCUGGCCGCAGGAAUUUGGUGAUUGCCGUCGGUUCUGAAGCCAAAGAAGGAAGCAGACCUCUCCGCGCAGGCAGAUGAGAAAACCAAGGCACUGAAAGCUGGAAAGGGGCAGACCAGACGCAAACACUGCUUUCUUGACUCCACUCACUACAAGCUGCUUCCUUAAGCCUAAACUUGGCUCUUGCCUCACAGGACUAUCUUGCAGGAACCUAGGUCUUUGGCUGGUUUUUGAAGCUGAACCCACCUGGUUUUCUC
rnacentral:lncRNA from 1 species